GAAAGAGGCUCAGAAAGCUGAGUGGCCUGCUACUCCACUCAACUGGCGUUAAAAUCCCCAGCUCAUUCG
rnacentral:tRNA from 1 species